rnacentral:rRNA from 1 species
AUUGAACGCUGGCGGCAGGCCUAACACAUGCAAGUCGAACGAGUGGCGGACGGGUGAGUAAUGUCUGGGAAACUGCCUGAUGGAGGGGGAUAACUACUGGAAACGGUAGCUAAUACUGCAUACCAUCAGAUGUGCCCAGAUGGGUUUAGCUUGUGGGUGGGGUAACGGCUCACCAAGGCGACGAUCCCUAGCGGGUCUGCGAGGAGGACGAGCCAAACUGGAACUGGGACACGGUCCAGAGCCCUACGGGAGGAAGCAGAGGGGAAUAUUGCAAAAGGGGCGCAGGCCGGAUGCAGCCAUGCCGCGGGUAGGAAGAAGGCCUUCGGGUUGUAAAGUACGUUCAGCGGGGAGGCGUUACCCGCAGAAGAAGCACCGGCUAACUCCGUGCCAGCCGCCGCGGUAAUUC